GGACUCCUCAGGUCACCUUCUCACAAUGAGGCUCCCUGCUCAGCUUCUGGGGCUGCUGGUGCUCUGGCUCCCUGGGACCAGUGGGGAUAUUGUGAUGACCCAGACUCCACUCUCCCUGCCCGUCACCCUUGGAGAGCCGGCCUCCAUCUCCUGCAGGUCUAGUCAGAGCCUCCUGCAUAGUGAUGGGUACACCUAUUUGGACUGGUACGUGCAGAAGCCAGGCCAGUCUCCACAGCUCCUGAUCUAUUUGGUUUCCAACCGGGCCUCUGGAGUCCCAGACAGGUUCAGUGGCAGUGGGUCAGGCACUGAUUUCACACUGAAAAUCAGCCGGGUGGAGGCUGAGGAUGUUGGGGUUUAUUACUGCAUGCAAGCUCUCAAAACUCAAUUUCCUUCUGAUCUGUGGAUUCAUGGCUGUGGCUGUACCACAUCCAGGAUGGGGGAGACUCAGGUCUCACUCAGAGUUGACAAGAACCUAGAAGCCCUGUCAGGACCUGAUUCCACAUGA